GCCGCCUUAGCUCAGUUGGUAGAGCAACGGCUUGUGGAGCCGUGGGUCGCUGGUUCGAGCCCAGCAGGCGGUACCA
rnacentral:tRNA from 1 species